UUAUUUGAGAGUUUGAUCCUGGCUCAGGACGAACGCUGGCGGCGUGCCUAAUACAUGCAAGUUGAGCGAUGAAGAUUGGUGCUUGCACCAAUUUGAAGAGCAGCGAACGGGUGAGUAACGCGUGGGGAAUCUGCCUUUGAGCGGGGGACAACAUUUGGAAACGAAUGCUAAUACCGCAUAACAACUUUAAACAUAAGUUUUAAGUUUGAAAGAUGCAAUUGCAUCACUCAAAGAUGAUCCCGCGUUGUAUUAGCUAGUUGGUGAGGUAACGGCUCACCAAGGCCACGAUGCAUAGCCGACCUGAGAGGGUGAUCGGCCACACUGGGA
rnacentral:rRNA from 1 species